AUGCUUAACACAUGCAAGUCGAACGGUAACAGAUAAGAUGAUCUCUUCGGAGUGAAUCUUUGCUGACGAGUGGCGGACGGGUGGGUAAUGCUUGGGAAUCUGCCCAAUAGUGGGGGAAAACUCGGGGAAACCCGGGCUAAUACCGCAUAAUCUCUACGGAGGAAAGAGGGCCUCUACAUGUAAGCUCUCGCUAAUGGAUGAGCCCAAGUCAGAUUAGCUUGUUGGUAAGGUAAUGGCUUACCAAGGCUACGAUCUGUAGCUGGUCUGAGAGGACGACCAGCCACACUGGGACUGAGACACGGCCCAGACUCCUACGGGAGGCAGCAGUGGGGAAUAUUGCACAAUGGGCGCAAGCCUGAUGCAGCAAUGCCGCGUGUGAAGAAGGCUCUAGGGUUGUAAAGCACUUUCAAUAGAGAAGAAAAGCUUGAAAUUAAUACCUUCAAGCCUUGACGUAACCUAUACAAGAAGCACCGGCUAAUUCCGUGCCAGCAGCCGCGGUAAUACGGGAGGUGCGAGCGUUAAUCGGAAUUACUGGGCGUAAAGCGAGCGUAGGCUGUUAAUUAAGUCGAAUGUGAAAUCCCCGGGCUCAACCUGGGUACUGCAUCCGAAACUAUUUAACUAGAGUAUGGGAGAGGAAAGUAGAAUUUCCGGUGUAGCGGUGAAAUGCGUAGAUAUCGGAAGGAACACCAGUGG
rnacentral:rRNA from 1 species